AUUUAACUGACAAGUCCCAAAUAGGACAAAACGCGUGUUGUAGAU
rnacentral:hammerhead_ribozyme from 1 species